AGAAAAUCAAGUUCCAGCCUUGUCCUGUUCAUCCUUCUCCUUGGCAAAUUUCUUGGCAAGUUCAGCAGCAAUCAGAUUUUCAGCCAUCAGUGCAUUCCCAGCAGCAGCAUACUUAGAAUCAGUUCCAGCAGCUUCCUUCAGUGCAUCCAAAGCUGUCCUAGGCCUUGGACUUUCUGUGGCAUCAUCUUCUGAAGUGAAAGUUGCCUUGACAUCAGAUGAACCACCAG
rnacentral:lncRNA from 1 species